rnacentral:rRNA from 1 species
UGGAGAGUUUGAUCCUGGCUCAGAUUGAACGCUGGCGGCAGGCCUAACACAUGCAAGUCGAGCGGAUGAAAGGAGCUUGCUCCUGRAUUCAGCGGCGGACGGGUGAGUAAUGCCUAGGAAUCUGCCUGGUAGUGGGGGACAACGUUUCGAAAGGAACGCUAAUACCGCAUACGUCCUACGGGAGAAAGCAGGGGACCUUCGGGCCUUGCGCUAUCAGAUGAGCCUAGGUCGGAUUAGCUAGUUGGUGAGGUAAUGGCUCACCAAGGCGACGAUCCGUAACUGGUCUGAGAGGAUGAUCAGUCACACUGGAACUGAGACACGGUCCAGACUCCUACGGGAGGCAGCAGUGGGGAAUAUUGGACAAUGGGCGAAAGCCUGAUCCAGCCAUGCCGCGUGUGUGAAGAAGGUCUUCGGAUUGUAAAGCACUUUAAGUUGGGAGGAAGGGCAGUAAAUUAAUACUUUGCUGUUUUGACGUUACCGACAGAAUAAGCACCGGCUAACUCUGUGCCAGCAGCCGCGGUA